AAUAGAUUUUUAUUUAGUCUUCUAAACUAAUUUUGAGGUUUUCUCGUCAAUUU
rnacentral:tRNA from 1 species